UACAGAGGGUGCGAGCGUUAAUCGGAAUUACUGGGCGUAAAGCGCGCGUAGGCGGUCUUGUAAGUCGGGUGUGAAAGCCCCGGGCUCAACCUGGGAACUGCAUUCGAGACUGCAGGACUGGAGUAUUGGAGAGGGCAGCGGAAUUUCCGGUGUAGCGGUGAAAUGCGUAGAUAUCGGAAGGAACAUCAGUGGCGAAAGCGGCUGCCUGGCCAAAUACUGACGCUCAUGUGCGAAAGCGUGGGGAGCAAACAGGAUUAGAUACCCCCGUAGUCC
rnacentral:rRNA from 1 species